rnacentral:sRNA from 1 species
GCUGGGUGUGGCGACGCCUGCCUGUAAUCCCAGUGGCUUGGGAGGCUGAGGCAGGAGGAUCUCGAGUUCAAACCUAGCUUCAGCAAUUUAGAAAGGCGCUAAGCAACUCAACCCUGUCUUUA